GAUCAGGGUCCUGCUGUUGAAGCUUCCAGGCACGGUUUUGUCCAUUGGGUUGGUUGUCGUGGCUGCUAUUCCAGCGACUGAGGGGUUCAGGCUCAGAAACCCUGCACUCGUGCUGCUGGGAACACAAAGAGGGGCUGGGACUUUAGUCCGGUGUGCCAUCCGAGGUUGGGAGUCAGAAGGUGGCUUAUGCCGACGUCACUUACACCAGAGCUAAUGGAUGAAAGAACCCGCGCUUUCUCCGGGUCCGCCAGAGCACAGACUAAGGCUGAGGAUGAUGGAAGAGAAACCCAAACCCAUUUCUGCUGGGGACAGUCUCUGUGGCGUGCCCGCCGGCUUAGAGAAUUGGCAUGAAAACGUAGGCCGUUGGAUGAGGUGUGUUGGCUCUGCCGAGUGGUGGAUCUCACUGCAGUGGAUCUGAUAUUACGCUUUCUCCUCUCUGUGAAGAUGCUCUGCUGAAUGAAUAGAUGUUCCAGAAUGAGGACAGAUGGGGAGGACAGUGACUUAUCCAGGAUUUUCCUGCAUUUCCACUGAUCAAGUGCUUUGCUUCCCGGAGAAGCGAGUUGUACGGAGAGGCAGGAAGGAUAACGCUGAACAGUAGACCAAGACGAGAAGAAACCCAGAAACACUGCGCUUUAAACUCAUGGAAGAAACAACAGACCUGACAUAGAAUGAUACGCCAAGGAGUACAGUGUGGGCAUUACAGGCAUGUGCCAACACAGCUGAUUGUAUGUGAUGCUGAGGGUCAAUCCCGGGGAUUCCUGCGUGCCAGGAAAGCACAGCUGAGACACAGCCCCAUCCCCAGCCCAGGAGUGAGAGAUCCAAACAGACAAUCUGUGUCUAGGAAGUUAGCAGCAGUGAAUGGAGCAAGGGCACCAAGAGUGUGUGCGAAGUCUUGGUUCAACAACGCGUGGAGCGUGAAUGCAGCAGGCGUGGAAGCGAGACAUCAUGGCAAGGGCUGGUGUGGAUGUGGGAAGGUCACUGGAGCAGGGGCUCUCGGGAAAACUGCUCUACAGAAGAGGUGAUGUGGAAAUGGCGACUUCGGAAGUCCUGCUCAUGUGGAGGAUGACUACACACAGAACUGAUGACUGCACGGAGUGACUGACAGCAGAGAAACUGAUCAUCUGUGUUAAUAUGUUGGUUACUGUAAAUGAGGGCUGGUGCUUAAAAGCCUGUAAACCAGACAGGCCACAAGAUAGUAGAGCAGACACUUACACACCCACUAUGACAUUCAGAAUGUAAUCAUCAUCUUCUUGUUUGUUUGCUUCUUCUUCUUCUUUUUUUUUUCACCAAUUUUUAAAAAAAAUAAAAAUAAAAAAUGCUGCACA